AAUGGCGGAACGAAAAAUAGGACGAGAAAUGUAAUACGAAAAUGUGGUCGUCGUCUUUCUUCAUAGAAUAGAUUAUUAGUACAAUGCCGAUUAACAGAUUUGUGGCCUAUGCCAGCCAUCUUAACAACAAGAAAUGCAAGUUUUGCUUAUGCUGUUAUUGACCUGUCAGGCUGUCAUCAGCAACAAUCUCAGGAUCAUCGUUAGGUGUUUUGCAGAGAAACCUUGAAGUUCCUCAUUUAUUAAAAAUAAUAGCCACCUGUUUUAUUGGAGAAUCCGUGGACGUUGGGCGAUUUAUCUCUUUUUCGCCUUGCCUCGUGUACACCCAUGCGAGCGUGAGUGUACGAGUACCCCCCUUUUCCUAUCCCACCUGGUGUAUAACAUUUUUCUGUGGAUGGAGCACUUGUGGACGCCUGGCUGUUUCUCCCAGGCUUAAAGGUAGAAAUAAAUUAUCCCAAUUUUUACUCUA